GAGUUCUAUCGGAUCAUCAACAAGAACCUACUAGACAACUUUAGAGCAGCCAUCAAUCAGCACACUCCAGGACUGCUUAGACUCUAUCGGGCUAGGAGGGCAGCUUUUCCGUCUGAGAUGGAUCAACUCCUUAAGGGACUGGAUGAAGAGACCAAUGACAUCACAGCACACAGACAGGCUCCAGCCUUGAAGGGCCUUCCUUUGUAUCUCCGUGACAGUCACGAGAAGGUGUUCAGGAGUUGUCUGGUGAGUGGUGAUUAGCAAAUCAUGUUUAUGCUGUACUUGACUAGGAUUGUUACCACUGCCCAUUUUUCCAUUCCAGUUUAUCUAUCCACUGUUCUCCUUGCCCUUUUUUUUAAUCUAAAUGCAUGAAGUGUCUCUGAUGUACUUUGCUGUCAAUAUUCUUUAUUUAAAGCUACAAUAUUGAGGAAAUUGGUUUGGUGCUCUUGAGUGCUAUCUAAAGGCCCCAAAAAUGCAACUGCACUGAAACAUAUAGUUGUGAAACGGGUAAGAAACUCAGUUCAGAAAUCUGUCAUCAAAUCAAUGUUCAGUCAUGAAUUAAU